GGUCAAGUGAAGAAGCGCAUACGGUGGAUGCCUUGGCAGUCAGAGGCGAUGAAAGACGUGGUAGCCUGCGAAAAGCUUCGGGGAGUCGGCAAACAGACUGUGAUCCGGAGAUGUCUGAAUGGGGGAACCCAGCCAUCAUAAGAUGGUUAUCUUGUACUGAAUACAUAGGUGCAAGAGGCGAACCAGGGGAACUGAAACAUCUAAGUACCCUGAGGAAAAGAAAUCAACCGAGAUUCCCUUAGUAGUGGCGAGCGAACGGGGACCAGCCCUUAAGUUGUAUUGAGAUUAGCGGAACGUUCUGGAAAGGACGGCCAUAGUGGGUGAUAGCCCUGUACGCGAAAAUCCCUUUGCAAUGAAAUCGAGUAGGACGGGGCACGAGAAACCUUGUCUGAAUAUGGGGGGACCAUCCUCCAAGGCUAAAUACUACUGACUGACCGAUAGUGAACCAGUACCGUGAGGGAAAGGCGAAAAGAACCGCGGAGAGCGGAGUGAAAUAGAUCCUGAAACCGUAUGCGUACAAGCAGUGGGAGCCCACUUUGUUGGGUGACUGCGUACCUUUUGUAUAAUGGGUCAGCGACUUAUUUUCAGUGGCGAGCUUAACCGAAUAGGGGAGGCGUAGCGAAAGCGAGUCUUAAUAGGGCGUCUAGUCGCUGGGAAUAGACCCGAAACCGGGCGAUCUAUCCAUGGGCAGGUUGAAGGUUGGGUAACACUAACUGGAGGACCGAACCGACUACCGUUGAAAAGUUAGCGGAUGACCUGUGGAUCGGAGUGAAAGGCUAAUCAAGCUCGGAGAUAGCUGGUUCUCCUCGAAAGCUAUUUAGGUAGCGCCUCAUGUAUCACUGUAGGGGGUAGAGCACUGUUUCGGCUAGGGGGUCAUCCCGACUUACCAAACCGAUGCAAACUCCGAAUACCUACAAGUGCCGAGCAUGGGAGACACACGGCGGGUGCUAACGUCCGUCGUGAAAAGGGAAACAACCCAGACCGUCAGCUAAGGUCCCAAAGUCAUGGUUAAGUGGGAAACGAUGUGGGAAGGCUUAGACAGCUAGGAGGUUGGCUUAGAAGCAGCCACCCUUUAAAGAAAGCGUAAUAGCUCACUAGUCGAGUCGGCCUGCGCGGAAGAUGUAACGGGGCUCAAACCAUGCACCGAAGCUACGGGUAUCAUCUUUUGAUGAUGCGGUAGAGGAGCGUUCUGUAAGCCUGUGAAGGUGAGUUGAGAAGCUUGCUGGAGGUAUCAGAAGUGCGAAUGCUGACAUGAGUAACGACAAUGGGUGUGAAAAACACCCACGCCGAAAGACCAAGGUUUCCUGCGCAACGUUAAUCGACGCAGGGUUAGUCGGUCCCUAAGGCGAGGCUGAAAAGCGUAGUCGAUGGAAAACAGGUUAAUAUUCCUGUACUUCUGGUUAUUGCGAUGGAGGGACGGAGAAGGCUAGGCCAGCCUGGCGUUGGUUGUCCAGGUUUAAGGUGGUAGGCUGAGAUCUUAGGUAAAUCCGGGAUCUCAAGGCCGAGAGCUGAUGACGAGUGUUCUUUAGAACACGAAGUGGUUGAUGCCAUGCUUCCAAGAAAAGCUUCUAAGCUUCAGGUAACCAGGAACCGUACCCCAAACCGACACAGGUGGUUGGGUAGAGAAUACCAAGGCGCUUGAGAGAACUCGGGUGAAGGAACUAGGCAAAAUGGCACCGUAACUUCGGGAGAAGGUGCGCCGGUGAGGGUGAAGCAUUUACUGCGUAAGCCCACGCCGGUCGAAGAUACCAGGCCGCUGCGACUGUUUAUUAAAAACACAGCACUCUGCAAACACGAAAGUGGACGUAUAGGGUGUGACGCCUGCCCGGUGCCGGAAGGUUAAUUGAUGGGGUUAGCGCAAGCGAAGCUCUUGAUCGAAGCCCCGGUAAACGGCGGCCGUAACUAUAACGGUCCUAAGGUAGCGAAAUUCCUUGUCGGGUAAGUUCCGACCUGCACGAAUGGCGUAACGAUGGCGGCGCUGUCUCCACCCGAGACUCAGUGAAAUUGAAAUCGCUGUGAAGAUGCAGUGUAUCCGCGGCUAGACGGAAAGACCCCGUGAACCUUUACUAUAGCUUUGCACUGGACUUUGAAUUUGCUUGUGUAGGAUAGGUGGGAGGCUUUGAAGCGUGGACGCCAGUCUGCGUGGAGCCAACCUUGAAAUACCACCCUGGCAACUUUGAGGUUCUAACUCAGGUCCGUUAUCCGGAUCGAGGACAGUGUAUGGUGGGUAGUUUGACUGGGGCGGUCUCCUCCUAAAGAGUAACGGAGGAGUACGAAGGUGCGCUCAGACCGGUCGGAAAUCGGUCGUAGAGUAUAAAGGCAAAAGCGCGCUUGACUGCGAGACAGACACGUCGAGCAGGUACGAAAGUAGGUCUUAGUGAUCCGGUGGUUCUGUAUGGAAGGGCCAUCGCUCAACGGAUAAAAGGUACUCCGGGGAUAACAGGCUGAUACCGCCCAAGAGUUCAUAUCGACGGCGGUGUUUGGCACCUCGAUGUCGGCUCAUCACAUCCUGGGGCUGAAGCCGGUCCCAAGGGUAUGGCUGUUCGCCAUUUAAAGUGGUACGCGAGCUGGGUUUAGAACGUCGUGAGACAGUUCGGUCCCUAUCUGCCGUGGACGUUUGAGAUUUGAGAGGGGCUGCUCCUAGUACGAGAGGACCGGAGUGGACGAACCUCUGGUGUUCCGGUUGUCACGCCAGUGGCAUUGCCGGGUAGCUAUGUUCGGAAAAGAUAACCGCUGAAAGCAUCUAAGCGGGAAACUUGCCUCAAGAUGAGAUCUCACUGGAACCUUGAGUUCCCUAAAGGGCCGUCGAAGACUACGACGUUGAUAGGUUGGGUGUGUAAGCGCUGUGAGGCGUUGAGCUAACCAAUACUAAUUGCCCGUGAGGCUUGACCAU
rnacentral:rRNA from 1 species